rnacentral:miRNA from 1 species
CGCCCGCCUCGGCCUCCCAAAGUGCUGGGAUUACAGGCGUGAGCCACUGCACCCGGCCUGACAUUAUUAUGCUUUCUGUGUACUGUCAGUUAGUA